UAGGGUAUGACCUAUGAUACACUGUAAAAAUUCAGGGGUCCCGCACAAUUCAUUUAUAUUGUCCCAAUAAAAAAAAAUCAAUGGAGAUAACAAAUUUAAGUGGAUUGAACUUAAAAUUAUUAAGCCCAAAAAAGGGACAGCAGGGUUCAGGGAACAGGGUAGCCCAGGGAUAGCGUGUGAAUCUGAGCAUUUGAUAUUUCUGCUCCGUUGUUUGUUCCACUUGGAGAUCUGUCAACAGAGUGUGUUUCUCUUUAUUUCAGAGCUGAUGAUUCAGCCGCAGCUCAAUUCCACUCUCAUUCCACCGCAUGCCCGCGCACAAACCGUAGCAUCAUCCAACGAUGGCUCUGAAGGCUCCGUACAGCCCGGAUCUACCCUGACCAACAGCACCUGAGACUCAUAAAAACCCACAAAACACACCACAGCAUCUGAGCCACCACAACACACACAAACACACUCACAGUCUCACACUCUCAAUACCUCAUCCACGGCUUCUUGCUCCACACAUUUACAGACCGAUUCAGGAGUCACUGCACACAGCCCUGUGUUUGCUGACUGUUGGUCAAACAUACUGUACACACACACUGCCAUGUACACGCAACCGCAAACAGAGUAAUACCGCUAAUAUGUGCUUCAGAUAAUAGAGGUAGUCAGUCUGGGGAGAGCUCCAAGCGGCUGCGUAGAAAAGCUCACGUGCAUCCAUAUUGUGUGUUUUGGCGCUCAGAUAUGAUUGGUUAUCAGUGGCUAGGGGCGGGUCCUCUAAUUUUAUUAUUAUUUUAAAAUCUUAAUUUAUUGAAAUCGUCAUUUACGGUGGAUGUUUCCCCUUGAACGCUCGUCUUUUUCGUUAUUAUGCGAGGUCAAAUAUGUUUUGAAGGGGAACAAGCUGUCAUUGUAGAUGAUUUAUCUUGUUGUAAGUGUCAAAGAGGCGAGACUUAAACGUGGUGGUUUUUUACAGUUAUUUUAUUGUAUUUUUUAAAACAGGAGAAUAAUAUCUUUUUUUUCUGGUGAAUAUAUUUAUUAUUUUAAUUCAACCAGUCAUUCAGACGAACUUUUGAGAAGGCAUACAUGUAAUAAUUCCACAGAGCAGUUUGGGGAAACGUUCGACAUUAUUGUUGACCACAAAGAAGGGAAGGAACGAUGUAUGCAAGCCAAUAGCAUAUUCAUUUUAUUGUACCGAACUGAAGUGACUUUAUAUUCCUGGACGUUUAAUUAUCAUUAGCCCUUAAUGAUGCUCCAGGUCUAGGCUUAAUUUAUGCUUGUGAGAUUACAAAGUCUUCUUCCGUUCAAAGUCAUUUUCAAACGACGGUCUGAAGACUCCACCACGCAUCAUAAUUCAGUGUUUUUUCUGUUUUAGCAAUCAUUUUUAUAGUACAUUAAGCUAUUCCUACCAUUUGAAGGCCUUUGUGGUAGAACAAUACUAGUUUGUGAAUCAGCACAUGAGUUCUUAACGUCAGAUGGUCAAUCAUAUCGAUUUCUUUACUUGAGAACAUGUCUGUUAGUAAUAAACUCUAUUCUGAGGCCCUCAGGAGCCCUACUUCCAUC